UACGUAGGGGGCGAGCGUUGUCCGGAUUUAUUGGGCGUAAAGAGCGUGUAGGCGGCUUUACAGGUCCGUUGUGAAAACUCGAGGCUCAACCUCGAGACGCCGGUGGAAACCGUAAAGCUAGAGUCCGGAAGAGGAGAGUGGAAUUCCUGGUGUAGCGGUGAAAUGCGCAGAUAUCAGGAGGAACACCCGUGGCGAAGGCGGGUUGCUGGGCUGACACUGACGCUGAUGCGCGAAAGCUAGGGGAGCGAACGGG
rnacentral:rRNA from 1 species